AACAAAAAAAAGAAAACAAGCUGGAAAGAGAUGAAUUUUAUCCUGGUUCCUCGUUCUCCUCAGCAGAUGAAGAACUGCAGCAUCAGCACAGAUUUCUGCUACUCGAGUUAAUGGAGUGCCACUACCAGUCACGGGUUGUCAUCCUCUGAGUAAAGCACUCCCAGAAGAGGAUUGCUGAUGGGCACUGGUGACAAACAUGGACUGAGGAUUUUCUUGUUGGCUGGAAUGGCGAGUAAUUGGAUAGAUGUAUAUUCCAGAUGCAAGGUAAUCCACUGUGUCUCGUGCCAUCCUUGUCCUUUUUCUUUCCCCACUUCAUUCCAGACCUCAUCUUCUCCUGCAGGGAGUCACAGUGGAUCCCAGCUCAUGAUCUCCCAACCUGAUGAGCUCUUUGCUUCCCAAUAUGACACUCUUUGCUUCCAACCUACUUGGCUGGACUGCCCUAACUCCCAGUCCCUUCUCAUGAUCCCAUUUCUCAUCUAGAACAGGUUUGGUAUCCAGUAUAUCUGUCUGAGAAAUUCUUCACAGUGCAUUUGAACAACUCUGUCCUCUGUACUCUAGAUUUUAACAUAGGUGUUGCUGGGACUCAAGGAAGGCAGACCCCUGCUUUUCUUUUGUUGAUAGACCUCUUACAGCUCAUGUCCAUCUGUAGCAAAUAGGACCUUUUAGGAAAGUGUUCUGUUGAAAUCAAAGUCAUCUUUAUUAAAUAUGCACCAUGAUUUUUCAUAUACCUGUCACUGACAUAAAAGCUGUCUUCUAUCAGCUUUUAAGUCCUUACACCAAACUUGCAAGAUGUAGGUUUUGUCACAGAAGACAUCAGAAUUUUUAACCACAGCAUAUUUUCCCCAAAAGCCUGCCAGACAUGUCAGAGAUUUCUGAGUUGUUUUACACUGGUUCCCCUUGAGAAUGUGUGUCAAGUAAAACGUCCUGAAUGAUACAAUAUCACAUUGUUUAGACGGGACAGCAAUAUUAAUGCAUUUAAUCUUAUAAAAAGCAUUCUAAUAUCUUUAGUGAGCACUAUACAGACUUUUAUUCCUUAGAGAAGAUAAGGGAUGUCCUUGCAAACAAGAAAAAUUAGAUCCUGUUGUGCCAAGGCCUAUGCUCUAAGUAGUUCAAGGUGACCAGUGUACAGCUCAGACUGUUACAUAAAACAAUUUGCAAAGAUCAGUGAAAAUUAAACACACAAUGACAGCUUCUUCAAGAAAACAAGACCCAGUGAAAUGCCUCAAGGACUACACUGAAAUAAUGUCCAGCAGAGAUUUGAAAAAAGUGAUACUAAACUCAGUGGUACUCUUGCAGAGUAGCUGAGAGAAGACUCUCAGUCAGGUACGAGAAGUAUGACAAUGAUUAUGUGAGUGAUUAUGCUGAGAUUUAUUGCUAACACAGUAUGUAAAUAUUGUCAGUGCAUUGUAUAAUUUAAGUAGGUCUGAAGGGCUAUAACAUGGACAGGUUCAGCUGCAAAUGUGCAGGUUUGCAGGAAGCACAAUUGCAAAGCAGCAAUGCACCCAUAGAGCUGCUUUAGGAUUUUAUCUCCACCUGUUACUCACCUGUCCAAAGCUGAGUGUUCCCAUCCUUGUGCUGGUUGAUGCUGGGCUGGAUCCACCUGGGAGCUGCCCUGCAGUCUCAGGAGGUCACUUUGCCCAGCUGGCCCAGUCUCCAGGAGCAUUUUGUACCCUUCUGCAGGCCCACGUGUACCAAGAUCAAUCACAACCAUCACCACUCCCCCACCUCUGGAAUGCAUUAAUUAUGCAAGCAUCCAGACAGCUCCUCCUGCAAUUCCUACUAGUGUUCUUAUUUUAGGACAGAUCAUAUUCAAGGACUGCAUGGGAGAGGGGGUUGGUGUGUAUGGAGGACACACUCCAAGACCUGACUUUUUUGUCACCAUCACUGUGGAUAAAUUGAUAGAGUAAAUCUUACUAAUGAGCAAAAUCAUGAGUGGUGGGCUACUCUGACUCCCUGAUGAUCCAAAUCUUGAGCUGCAAAGAUGCUGAAUUUGACCCAAACUGCAGAAAGAUAGGUAGGCAGCAGAAGCAUAGCAGUCUGGUUUGUACUUUUUCUUUCCUCCCCAGUUCUUUAAUUUUCCACAUAUGUUUCCCUUCGAUUUCUGAGAAAAAUCUGCUUAAGAUACUGAAGCUGUCCUUUGGAGAGCUGCUGUGAUGCUGUUCAUAAACAUCCAAAAAGCUGUGUUGGAGACAGCAGGGCAUUGCUGCAAUUUCCAUGUUUCCCUGUGACCAACAGACAAUAUGCUGUCCUGAAGUUUUCUAGCAAUGAAUUUGUUCAGUGCCAGCACCAGAGAGAGAGGCUGAGUUCCCUUCCCCUGCAGCCCCUGAGCUGGCUUUGUCCCUCUCCCAUACAGCCCUGCCUCUCCAGGGAAGGACUGGGCUCUGUCAACAGCUCCAGCAGCAUUUCCAGCCCAUCUCAGUGAACUGAAAAACUCUCUUUUCUGAAAUAGAAAACCCAAUACUUUGUCUUUCUUGCUAUAUCUAAGCCUGUUAAACAAUGGUGUUUUUCUCACAGACUUUAAACAGUGAAUGCAAGUUGGAGUUUUAAUAUUAAAGCCCGACUUUUCUGCAUUCUAAAUAUUUUUAUUCUUCUUUUCUCCUUAUAUUUUUCUAUCUUUAACAGAGGGUUUCAAAGGUUUUAUGUGAUCCAUAUUGACACAGGAAUAAACAAGCAUUUGAAACAUCAAACCCUAUCCAAAGCUUGUUUAGCAAUACAGUUUUGUUAGUGACACAGGACCUUCAAUUCAUUUGACCCUCUGGGUCUGUUUGCUCUACUGAAAUUUGACUCAGCAAAGUUAAAUCCCUUUCUAUCAUUCUGCAAGACAACUCAUUUUAUGUUUGGAUACAAACCAAUUCACUGCCAAAGCUGCAUAAUCAACUCCUGCCCUAACAUUCCAGUUAGUGCUCGUAGGGCUGAAUGGAAAAAUGAAAUGGUGAGAGUUGUAUAGAAAUAUAAUUUCUAUAGGAUGCUCAGUGAAUAUCAGAACAAUAGAUUGUGUAUUAACUACUGUGUUUACCAACACUCUUUUCCCUUGGUGUAGCCUAUAUAUUUAUGUAAGGGGGUAGCAGUCCGCUGUCAUUUUAUUGUGCAAAAUUCUGGAGUGGAAGUAAUGAAGUAAUUUUGGUUUUUUUCCAAAUUUAUUUUUACUUGAGAAAGUGUUCUGUAAUGACAAGCUCUGGAACAAAAUUUAAAAGGCAAGGCAUUUUCUGUAUUUGAAAGAUUUCUCCAUAUGAUUGCAAAUAAGAAAAUUAUGGAAAUAGCUAUUCUCUUUUUAUUUUAUAUUGUUCAAUCAACAUGGUUUUUUCUUCCCUCUUGCUAUGCCAUCAUGUGCAGCUUUCAUUUUGUCUUUGGUUCAUUUUUAAUAUUUAUACCUACUUAUUAUCAAACAAAGCAGAGCAAACAGUUCUUAAAGGAUGUGCUGGAGCAAAUCAUUAUAGGUUAUAUUUAUUUUCAUGUUCAGGCUAUGGAAGGCUAGCCAGGGAUAUCUCUUUCCACUUAAAAUGUCUAAGUCCAUUGGAAAAUAAUUAGAGGUUGGUCAGAUAAGGAUUUUCUUCUUUUUUUUUUUUUCCUUCCCUCCUCCAUUUUGUGUUAAACAUUGAAUCCAUGAAAAGCAGCCUAUUACUGUAAGCCAUAAAGCAGUUCUUUCCCUGUUUCAGAGAAAUCUACUUGAAAUAUGUGCAGCCUUUUUGAUCUCCAGGCUCCUAGUCUGGGCAAACAGAUGGAGUGUUUCUACCUGGGCUAUUAUUUUCUUUUCCUCUUCUCCCCUUUGAACAAAGCCAUGCUCCCUGUGCAAGCAAAGAGGGAAGGACUUUUAACCCUACACACACCAUGGUGGGGCUGAGCAGAUCACAGAAAGUUCUCAGGACUCUUCAGUUCCAAUAGACAGCUCUCAUGGACCCCAAAGCAUGGCUGCACACCUGCCUCAUUUCCCUGCACUGCCUGGAUACAUUCCAUCCCAGCUGGUGAUGGCCACAGGACCACAGCCUGAAGAGGGAAACACUGAAAUACUGCUUUCACCAAGUGAAACACUGAAGAUGAGAGCCCAACAAGUCGUCUUCCAUCAGAAACUAGACAAAACCAUCCGCGAGUUCAGCACAUAUUGCCCUGUGGCUGGUUUAUCUGCAUGACCUUCUCCAGCAGCCCCAAGCCAGCUCUGCCGUGUUCCCUGACAACCAGGUGUGGUGUAGCUGUGGCCAAAAGCUGUGCACCCAGUCAGGUAACGUGGCUGCAUGUGGUGGUAUUGCUGUGAUGACAGGCCAAAACCUACAGACUCUCAACUGCACAUGGGGCAGAGAGAAAGGUGACCUCUUUUAACGCCCUGUCCAAGGGACAAAGACUUCCACAGAAUGGAAGUGAACACAGAGUCAUCUGGCCCGACCUCCCUUCUCAAGCGUGGUCAUUCUAUAGCACACAGGCGGUUCUUGAGCAUCUCUAGCGAGGGAGAUUCCACACCCUCUCUGGGCAGCCUGUUCCACAGCAUGGUCACCCAGACAGCAAAGAAGUUUUCCGUCAUAUUCAAAAGGAGAACUCCCCG